GGUGAACGCUGGCGGCGUGCCUAAGACAUGCAAGUCGAGCGGGGCAGGUUUAUACCUGUUCAGCGGCGGACGGGUGAGUAACGCGUGGGUGACCUACCCGGAAGAGGCGGACAACCUGGGGAAACCCAGGCUAAUCCGCCAUGUGGUCCUGUCCUGUGGGGCAGGACUAAAGGGUGGAUAGCCCGCUUCCGGAUGUGCCCGCGUCCCAUCAGCUAGUUGGUGGGGUAAAGGCCCACCAAGUCGACGACGGGUAGCCGGUCUGAGAGGAUGGCAGGCCACAGAGGCACUGAGACCCGGGCGCCACUCCUACGGGAGGCAGCAGUUAGGAAUCUUCCGCAAUGGACGGAAGUCUGACGGAGCGACGCCGCUUGGAGGAGGAAGCACUUCGGGGUGUAAACUCCUGAACUGGGGACGAAAGAACUGUGUAGGGGGAUGACGGUACCCAGGUAAUAGCGCCGGCCAACUACGUG
rnacentral:rRNA from 1 species